rnacentral:lncRNA from 1 species
CACCUACCACUGUGUUUCUGGCCCAUGCUCAGGGAUAUGGUUUCUUCAACUCUUCAUGGUAACUCAAUGAGAUGGGUAUAUCCCCCCUCUAUAGAUGAGGAAACUGAGUCAUGGUCAGAUGAAAUGACUUGCCACAGAAUACUCAGCUAGAAGUGCCAGAGUGGGAAUUCAAAUCCAGGCUGUCCCACACCAAGUCUUGAAGAGAGUACCGUUAUUCACUCAUAAAACAAACCCCUAAGGGUGCCGCCUGGAAUUGAGUGCUUCCUGUGUAAGCCCAAAGAUUCAUAGUACCAUGCAAUGUAGGUGUCACUUUUACCAUUCCCAGGUUUCCAAUGAGGCUGCUGACCUGGGAAGGCAAGGCCCAUCAGGCCUGUGAGGAGACUGCACUUUGCAUCAGUGAAGCUCCACAUGGAUUCAGGUUGCUCUGUCCUGGUGGCCAAUGCACCUGCUUCCUCAGAUCACAGCCAGUAAACGUCAUGGUCUUGGCCAAAGGUGGGUUCAUGUCAUUCUACAACUGUUCAUUCCCACAGAAUGUACAUCAGCAAGAGUAAAGAAUAAGGUAAGUUCCAGACUGUAGGUGACAAUGAUGUUGGUUUUUGAACUGGAAAAAAUGUGCCUCUCUGGUGGGUAGUGAUGGGGACAGAGGCAGAGACUGUGCAAGGAUGGGGGCAUUUGGGAAAUCUCUGAUCUUCCCCUCAAUUUUGAGCUUAAAAAUGUUCUAAAAAGUUAUCAAGUAAAAAACAAGAGGAGGAAGAAGUGUGCUUUAUCACUGCACUGGGAGAGGCUGAGGGCAGGCAACCAGAGCUUGGGGCAAACAGACCCAGCACCUCCUUCCCAACCUGCCUCUCUCCAAGCUCAGCACAG